rnacentral:rRNA from 1 species
UACGUAGGGAGCGAGCGUUGUCCGGAUUUACUGGGUGUAAAGGGUGCGUAGGCGGCUCGGCAAGUCAGAAGUGAAAUCCAUGGGCUUAACCCAUGAACUGCUUUUGAAACUGUUAAGCUGGAGUGUCGGAGAGGCAGGCGGAAUUCCUAGUGUAGCGGUGAAAUGCGUAGAUAUUAGGAGGAACACCAGUGGCGAAGGCGGCCUGCUGGACGAUAACUGACGUUGAGGCACGAAAGUGUGGGGAGCAA